CCUACGGGAGGCAGCAGUGAGGAAUAUUGGUCAAUGGGCGUAAGCCUGAACCAGCCAAGUCGCGUGAGGGAUGAAGGUUCUAUGGAUCGUAAACCUCUUUUAUAAGGGAAUAAAGUGUGGGACGUGUCCUGUUUUGUAUGUACCUUAUGAAUAAGGAUCGGCUAACUCCGUGCCAGCAGCCGCGGUAAUACGGAGGAUCCGAGCGUUAUCCGGAUUUAUUGGGUUUAAAGGGUGCGUAGGUGGCCUUUUAAGUCAGCUGUGAAAGUCUGUGGCUCAACCAUAGAAUUGCCGUUGAAACUGGGAGGCUUGAGUAUGUUAGAGGCAGGCGGAAUGCGUGGUGUAGCGGUGAAAUGCUUAGAUAUCACGCAGAACCCCGAUUGCGAAGGCAGCCUGCCAGGCCAUGACUGACGCUGAUGCACGAAAGCGUGGGGAUCAAACAGGAUUAGAUACCCCUGUAGUC
rnacentral:rRNA from 1 species